AAACCUCAUGUAGUGAACCUUAGGAGCCCACCCUAGGUAGAACCACUUCGAACCCCUAGUAUUCACCCAAAUAGGUGUUCUAUUUAUUCUUGCUUGCUUUUGCUUUGUACUAACAUGUUUUCUUUUUGUUAUGAUUGCAUUGCAUUUUCAUCAUAAAAAGAGGUGUUGAUUCACGUUCAAUUGCUAAAUAGAGAGCUUGUCAUAAGAAAAUGGGUUUCUUGAUAAAGUGGAUGACGAUACGGUUGUCCUAAUACGGUCCGAGAAGAUAUAACAAAAGAAGGAUGAUAGUUCAGUAGAGGACUAUACGACUUUGCCUCGUUGCCUGAAGACUCAAGAUGACAAAGAUUAUUCGAGAACCGCUAAACUUUUUAAAGAGAAGCCAACGAGCAUCACAAGGAUGAGUGAGUAACGAGUCGCGGCCCAGAUGAAGAAAAAAGAGAUAGAAGGGAUG
rnacentral:lncRNA from 1 species